rnacentral:rRNA from 1 species
UACGGAGACUGCGAGCGUUACUCGGAUUCACUGGGCGUAAAGGGUGCGUAGGCGGACAGAUGUGUCAGGUGUGAAAGCCCAGAGCUCAACUCUGGAACUGCGCCUGAAACUAUUUGUCUAGAGUCUCGGAGAGGUAAGCGGAAUUCCUAGUGUAGCGGUGAAAUGCGUAGAUAUUAGGAGGAACACCAAAGGCGAAGGCAGCUUACUGGACGAGAACUGACGCUGAGGCACGAAAGCGUGGGGAGCGAAA